UUUCUUCGGAAUGAUUUUGGGUGGAUUAGUGGCGGACGGGUGAGUAACGCGUGAGUAACCUGCCUUAGAGAAGGGGAUAGCCUUUGGAAACGAAGAAUAAUACCCUAUGACACCAACACCUCGCAUGAAGAGUUGGUCAAAGAUUUAUCGCUCUAAGAUGGACUUGCGUCUGAUUAGUUAGUUGGUGAGGUAACGGCUCACCAAGACAGCGAUCAGUAGCCGGCUUGAGAGAGUGUACGGCCACAUUGGGACUGAGACACGGCCCAGACUCCUACGGGAGGCAGCAGUGGGGAAUUUUGCACAAUGGGGGAAACCCUGAUGCAGCGACGCCGCGUGAUUUAGAAGGCCUUCGGGUUGUAAAAAUCUUUUCUAUGGGAAGAAAAUGACAGUACCAUAGGAAUAAGGACCGGCUAAUUACGUGCCAGCAGCCGCGGUAAUACGUAAGGUCCGAGCGUUGUCCGGAAUCAUUGGGCGUAAAGGGUACGUAGGCGGGUAAGCAAGUUAGAAGUGAAAUCCUAUAGCUCAACUAUAGUAAGCUUUUAAAACUGCUCAUCUUGAGGUAUGGAAGGGAAAGUGGAAUUCCUAGUGUAGCGGUGAAAUGCGCAGAUAUUAGGAGGAAUACCGGUGGCGAAGGCGACUUUCUGGCCAUAACCUGACGCUGAGGUACGAAAGCGUGGGUAGCAAACAGGAUUAGAUACCCUGGUAGUCCACGCCGUAAACGAUGAGUGUUAGGUGUCUGGAGUAAAUCUGGGUGCCGCAGCUAACGCAUUAAACACUCCGCCUGGGGAGUACGCGCGCAAGCGUG
rnacentral:rRNA from 1 species